UAAGAUCCCUCAAAGAUGAUGAGGUUAAUAGGUUCGAGGUGGAAGCAUAGUGAUAUGUGGAGCUGACGAAUACUAAUCGAUCGAAGACUUAAUCAAUUU
rnacentral:rRNA from 1 species